GGGGUAAAAUGUACUAAUAACAAAGAGUAAACAUGGGAUUGUGGUUUGGAAAGUAUUUAGAUAAAAGAGGGGUGAAAAGGGGGGAUAACUCCCCCACCAUAUGUUCACUCUGCAGGAAAGAAACUCGUACAAGUUAGUUUCUUUUUCAGAAAGAGUGAUCUCCCAUAAAUCUGGCAAUUUAAAAACGUUGAUUUUUUUUUUAUUUUCACUACAGUUACAUUAAGCUUAUUUAUUCAGAUCAAUAUCAGGGAUUAUUCAAUUUCUUCUUACAUUAAAUAUAAAAC
rnacentral:lncRNA from 1 species